CUUGAGGAAGCGUUUUGCCUACGUGGACAAAAAUUGCUCCCUUAAGGGCGCGCUUUAUGUCCAAGUAGGCAAAACGCUUCCUCAAGG
rfam:Gossypium raimondii Chr04_contig_664, whole genome shotgun sequence.